GACAGAGGAUGCAAGCGUUAUCCGGAAUUAUUGGGCGUAAAGAGCUCGUAGGCGGUCUGUCGCGUCGAUCGUGAAAACUUGGGGCUUAACCCUGAGCUUGCGGUCGAUACGGGCAUGACUGGAGUUCGGCAGGGGAGACUGGAAUUCCUGGUGUAGCGGUGAAAUGCGCAGAUAUCAGGAGGAACACCGGUGGCGAAGGCGGGUCUCUGGGCCGAUACUGACGCUGAGGAGCGAAAGCGUGGGGAGCGAACAGG
rnacentral:rRNA from 1 species